UUACCACACCUCCCCUGCCUUAAAACACUUAAUAUUUGGUCAUGCCCGAAGAUUACAGAUCUUAAGACAACAUCCGGCCCAUCUAAUUUGACAAUAACAGUGCGGUAGUAGAAAAGGUGAAACAUGGAGCAAGGCUAUCUACGCCAUGCUAGAGAGGCAAUUAUAUGGUGAAUAUGCAUGAGGAGAUUAUUACACGGUUGCAGAAGUGCUUGGAUGCAUAGGCGCUUCCAUCAAAGACUGGGGUGUGGGUUUAAGUGUGGUUAGGCUGGUGGGGUCCCACUAUGAGCUAGUAGCAUUGGUUCUGGGUCUCGGAUACAAAAACUUGACUACCAAGGUGUUGGGGUUUUCAAAAUUGGUUGUAAAUUUGAAUGAUUUUGUUGCCAAAAAAAAAAAAACUGAAUGAUCCACAAAACUAAACAAACUUUGAGACUUUUUUAUAAUUUGUCCUAAAAAUUAUAAAUUUAUAGUAAGACUUGUUUACAAAUUGGUGAAAUGAUUUAACUGAUAAAAAUAAAACUACAAUUAACACGAAGUUUAUACUUACUCUGUCUAUAUUAUUAAAAACUCUUUAGCUCUGAAUCAAAGAAAUCUCAUCAUCCAUACGUAACGAAUUGAUAUGGUAUAUUCAUAUCAUACUAUAUGAAUAGUAAGAAUUAGUAGGCAUUCAUGCUUAAGUUUUGUUUCGUUAUGAAUAUUUUUUUACUAUUGUACCAAAAAAACCUCUAUCUCCAUUUAAAAUGUGGAUAAAUCUUUGGGAUAAUGUCAGAGGUCCUAUAAACUCUGUCAUUUUGUUUGGAAAGAUCCUUAAUGUUUUUUAUUUUUAUAGUAUGAGGUUUUAAAGUCCAUUUUCCCUUGGUAAAAAAGGUCAUUUGAAAAAAAAAAUGGAAAGUUACCUUUGUCAUGUCAUUAAUAAGAUAGUCAACAUGGAUUUAACAUUUGUGAAGAAUUUCUUUUUCCAUAUAUUUUUUUCUAUUUUAUUUAGGGGUUGGCUAAAAAGACACAUUAUUUUUCCAUUUAGACACCAUAUUUGAUUUUUAAGGUUGUUUUAUUGGUUGAAUUUGUAUUGUUUUUCGGAAAAGUAAUUAUAAACAAUUUAUUAUAGGUUGAUUUUUAAUAAAAAUGUUGAUAGGGUGUUUAACGGGUGUCUUAAUAGCAACACCUUUUUUUUAUUUUGAAAUUAGAAUGGCCCACCCUACCUCCUAACCCCCUCGUAUCUCUUCAUCUUCAUCCCUAUAUCAUAUAGCUGUCUUGGCUUCAUAUUCUUGUUAAACAUAGCAAAAAUAUAUCCAUAAAUUUAACUUUUUGUGAACAAAGAUAAUGAAUGACCCAGAAACAUGGCUACCACACUCAUUCCUAUUUUUGCUCCAAAAACUCCAUUCCAUGCGCAAUUGAAACUGCUAUCGCCGUUAUUAAUAUCAUCUUCAAAGUAUUCUCUAUUGAUCGUGAGUUGCAGAUUAUAUAUGUAAUUUGGUAUUUUUUCCAUAAUUGAUUUCUUU